GAUGAACGCUGGCGGCGUGCCUAAUACAUGCAAGUCGAGCGAACAGACGAGGAGCUUGCUCCUCUGACGUUAGCGGCGGACGGGUGAGUAACACGUGGAUAACCUACCUAUAAGACUGGGAUAACUUCGGGAAACCGGAGCUAAUACCGGAUAAUAUAUUGAACCGCAUGGUUCAAUAGUGAAAGACGGUUUUGCUGUCACUUAUAGAUGGACCCGCGCCGCAUUAGCUAGUUGGUAAGGUAACGGCUUACCAAGGCGACGAUGCGUAGCCGACCUGAGAGGGUGAUCGGCCACACUGGAACUGAGACACGGUCCAGACUCCUACGGGAGGCAGCAGUAGGGAAUCUUCCGCAAUGGGCGAAAGCCUGACGGAGCAACGCCGCGUGAGUGAUGAAGGUCUUCGGAUCGUAAAACUCUGUUAUUAGGGAAGAACAAAUGUGUAAGUAACUAUGCACGUCUUGACGGUACCUAAUCAGAAAGCCACGGCUAACUACGUG
rnacentral:rRNA from 1 species